rnacentral:rRNA from 1 species
GAUGAACGCUGGCGGCGUGCCUAAUACAUGCAAGUCGAGCGAACAGACGAGGAGCUUGCUCCUCUGACGUUAGCGGCGGACGGGUGAGUAACACGUGGAUAACCUACCUAUAAGACUGGGAUAACUUCGGGAAACCGGAGCUAAUACCGGAUAAUAUAUUGAACCGCAUGGUUCAAUAGUGAAAGACGGUUUUGCUGUCACUUAUAGAUGGAUCCGCGCCGCAUUAGCUAGUUGGUAAGGUAGCGGCUUACCAAGGCGACGAUGCGUAGCCGACCGGAGGGGGUGAUCGGCCACACUGGAACUGAGACACGGUCAAGACUACUACGGGAGGCAGCAGUAGGGAAUCUUCCGCAAUGGGCGAAAGCCUGACGGAGCAACGCCGCGUGAGUGAUGAAGGUCUUCGGAUCGUAAAACUCUGUUAUUAGGGAAGAACAAAUGUGUAAGUAACUAUGCACGUCUUGACGGUACCUAAUCAGAAAGCCACGGCUAACUACGUG